UGGGGGAUAUUGCACAAUGGGCGAAAGCCUGAUGCAGCGACGCCGCGUGGGGUAUGAAGGCUUUCGGGUUGUAAACCUCUUUCGCUAUCGAACAAGGCCCGCUUAGGGUGGGUUGAGGGUAGGUGGAGAAGAAGCGCCGGCUAACUACGUGCCAGCAGCCGCGGUAAUACGUAGGGCGCGAGCGUUGUCCGGAAUUAUUGGGCGUAAAGGGCUUGUAGGCGGCUUGUUGCGCCUGCUGUGAAAACGCGGGGCUUAACUUCGCGCGUGCAGUGGGUACGGGCAGGCUUGAGUGUGGUAGGGGUGACUGGAAUUCCAGGUGUAGCGGUGGAAUGCGCAGAUAUCUGGAGGAACACCGAUGGCGAAGGCAGGUCACUGGGCCAUUACUGACGCUGAGGAGCGAAAGCAUGGGUAGCGAACAGG
rnacentral:rRNA from 1 species